rnacentral:rRNA from 1 species
UGGGGAAUAUUGCACAAUGGGGGAAACCCUGAUGCAGCGACGCCGCGUGAACGAAGAAGGUAUUCGUAUCGUAAAGUUCUGUUCUAUGGGAAGAUAAUGACAGUACCAUAGAAGAAAGCUCCGGCUAAAUACGUGCCAGCAGCCGCGGUAAUACGUAUGGAGCGAGCGUUGUCCGGAAUUAUUGGGCGUAAAGGGUACGCAGGCGGUUUAAUAAGUCGAAUGUUAAAGAUCGGGGCUCAACCCCGCAAAGCAUUGGAAACUGAUAAACUUGAGUAGUGGAGAGGAAAGUGGAAUUCCUAGUGUAGUGGUGAAAUACGUAGAUAUUAGGAGGAAUACCAGUAGCGAAGGCGACUUUCUGGACACAAACUAACGCUGAGGUACGAAAGCGUGGGGAGCAAACAGG